rnacentral:rRNA from 1 species
GACGAACGCUGGCGGCGUGCCUAAUACAUGCAAGUAGAACGCUGAAGAGAGGAGCUUACUCUUCUUGGAUGAGUUGCGAACGGGUGAGUAACGCGUAGGUAACCUGCCUUGUAGCGGGGGAUAACUAUUGGAAACGAUAGCUAAUACCGCAUAACAAUGGAUGACACAUGUCAUUUAUUUGAAAGGGGCAAUUGCUCCACUACAAGAUGGACCUGCGUUGUAUUAGCUAGUAGGUGAGGUAAUGGCUCACCUAGGCGACGAUACAUAGCCGACCUGAGGGGGUGAUCGGCCACACUGGGAAUGAGACACGGCCCCGCACCCUAAGGGAGGCAGCAGUAGGGAAUCUUCGGCAAUGGGGGCAAGCCUGACCGAGCAAAGCCGCGUGAGUGAAGAAGGUCUUCGGAUCGUAAAGCUCUGUUGUAAGUGAAGAACGGGUGUGAGAGUGGAAAGUUCACACUGUGACGGUAGCUUACCAGAAAGGGACGGCUAACUACGUG